AACGAGAGAAGAGAAGCUUGCUUUUCUGAUCUAGUGGCGGACGGGUGAGUAACACGUGAGCAAUCUGCCUUUCAGAGGGGGAUACCGAUUGGAAACGAUCGUUAAUACCGCAUAAUAUAAUUGAACCGCAUGAUUUGAUUAUCAAAGAUUUAUCGCUGAAAGAUGAGCUCGCGUCUGAUUAGCUAGUUGGUAAGGUAACGGCUUACCAAGGCGACGAUCAGUAGCCGGACUGAGAGGUUGAUCGGCCACAUUGGGACUGAGACACGGCCCAGACUCCUACGGGAGGCAGCAGUGGGGAAUAUUGCACAAUGGAGGAAACUCUGAUGCAGCGAUGCCGCGUGAGGGAAGAAGGUUUUAGGAUUGUAAACCUCUGUCUUCAGGGACGAAAAAAGACGGUACCUGAGGAGGAAGCUCCGGCUAACUACGUGCCAGCAGCCGCGGUAAUACGUAGGGAGCGAGCGUUGUCCGGAAUUACUGGGUGUAAAGGGAGCGUAGGCGGGAUCGCAAGUCAGAUGUGAAAACUAUGGGCUUAACCCAUAAACUGCAUUUGAAACUGUGGUUCUUGAGUGAAGUAGAGGUAAGCGGAAUUCCUAGUGUAGCGGUGAAAUGCGUAGAUAUUAGGAGGAACAU
rnacentral:rRNA from 1 species